GUCCGCCAGCUGUCUACAAAGCCUACCAUAAUAUCAGCCAAAAACAUCCCACCAGACCUACACAGAAGCAAUUUCACACAAAAACACAAAACAAACAGACGAUGAACUGAUCAAGGAUGUCAUCCUGCUUUACUCCAAGUCGUCGUCGUCGCCGUCAAUGUGAGCCGUCUGCUACCAUGGCGUGAACAAACGGCUCAAGAAGAAGCCCCGUCGUCGACCGCCCGGGCAACCCGAUCGCAGAGCACGCCUGCUCGCCGCCGGCCGAUCGAGCGUGGCACCCAUGGGCCACCCCUGGAUCGGUCCUCCCUCGCGUCCUUUCCGAAUCUCUUACCGGUCCAUGGACUGUUCACGCUGGCUGUACCGGCCAGGAAGAUAACACUUGCAGCAGCAGCAGCCUUUGUUGCUGGGCACGUACUCGCCGGAGGACGCCGGCCGGACCGCGAGAUCUUGGGUACAGACACGGGAGUUAAUAGGUGAGCUCAGCGGUAAAACCGACCGGACGUUGAUUCUUCUCCUGCCAUCUUGACCGGCGGCCUCUGCGGCCGAAAGGACGCGGCGGUUUCAUAUCGGCUCCGUAUACGACGACUGUGGAAACAGUCACCAGAUACCUGGCCUCCAUCCAUUCCGUGCAGUAAAAACGAAAUGACCCUAGUUAUUACCGACGCACUGAAUCUCUGAACCCUUCUCCUUAUGGAAACUAAAAUAAUUCAGAAUGUGUCACUCGUACAAUGUCUCACUGACUUGCAGGUGUAUUGGCAGUAAGAAAUCCAGUAAGGUACAUUUCAUGGUAUUUCCAAGUGCAUAGAAAUCCACGAGAAAUGAUAUUACAGGAACGGCGAAGAGAACCUCGGUGUUAACCACGUGCCCCCGAUUUCCAAUGAUCAUUUGCUCAGACGGCGCGCAGGAGUACUAGCACCACCAUUGUUCUUCUGCCUGAACUAGGCCAAUGGGUUUCAAGACAGAAUAAUUAACAGUUAGCAUCAUAAUCCUGGAACCAAGAGAUCACGACCGCGCCAAAAGCCGCGCACACGCCCAUCCUUUCCGCCCGGUUCAAGUCUAGUUUAAUCCGCUCCCACGGACGCAUGCCAUUCGCGAUUGGCAUGGCAGCUCCAAGAGACAAAAGUUGGCCUGCAACCCAAGCAGAUUUGUUAUGGGUCUCCGUUCCAGCAGGGUUCACGCUGAUCAUGACCAUCCAAGAAAAAACGACCUGAAAACAGUAGCAACACGCUGCCUCGGGCCGGCGAUGCAGAUUCUCGCUGCCCCAAUCAUGGCCAAGCUAUUAAUCUUUGUCUCUGCACACCUCUACAAGUAGCAGCACUAAUUCCUGGCACUGCACUGGUCCAACCUGGGAUUAGACCGGUUCCUA
rnacentral:lncRNA from 1 species